GUUCCCGUGUCCUGCCCCUCUGAAUGUCGGCGGCUCCAAAAGGGUGACGUGGAGAUGUUGCCGCUCCCGCCCAGGGCUGCUUUGCAGUCGGGGAGAGAUCCUGGCUGAAGAGAUUUAAGGACGGCGGACCGCAUCGGCGCGAAUUGAGCUCUGGGCCCAAAUAUGAAGUGGCAUCCGGUGUGAGGCUCGACUGGGCGGUGCUCGAGCGCUGCUGGGGGAAGCCCAGGCCUCCAAGCCUCAGGGGCGCGCGACCGACCGCGCUGCGCUUCCAGGCGGGGCUGCGGGCUUCGCUCCUGGCCGCUCUGGGCCUGAAAGGCUGCACCGCCACCUGCGUGAGGCCACCGGACAGGACUGUGAGGAUCACAGUCGGUGAAGCAGAGUGCUUUGUAAACCUCAGAGUGCGGUACUCGUGGUGCUGGAGCCGAGAAACCAGCAGCAGCUGCUGAGAGCCGACUGUGAAGAAAUGGGAGGAACUCCGUGUUGGGAGCGAGAGGCUUCGAAAGAACUGGCCACGCAGUCAAGUGUGUGUGGCGGGGCAAGUUUCCCGGAGAAAGCGAGCAGUUUAUGUUGGAGCUUGAAGUCAGGAUAACCAGUUUUGCCUUUUUUCUGUGAACCAGCUCCAAAACAAUGCUUUACUUCAGCCCGGUCUUUUUGCAGGAAGACCAUCUGCUUAGCUUAGUUCUACAAACUUUUUCAUUUUUAAUGUGCAAAGAACAGGCGGGGAGAGCCAAAAUAAAUCUUACAACGCAAAUUUAAAA